ensembl:lncRNA
CUAGUGGCCCUGAAGCUGCACGUCUUGGAACUUUUCCUUAACCAAGAGAACCACAGCUGACAUUCACUGGGGUGGAGAGAGUUGUGGAAGAGAUCCCACCUCUGACCAGAAGAGCAGUGCUGAAUGACAAAGGCAGCGCAAGCAGCCCAGAAAGAUCUUCCGCCCAUCAGCAGAUUUAGAACACUUAGAGCAGGACUUUUUAGAAUUCUCAUCCUCUAUCCUAAGAACUUUGGUCUUACUGCAUGAAAAUCCCUUAGCCUUUUCCACCCUAAGCCUAGAUCUACAGACAUCCUUGCGUUUCCUGGAGAAAUGGAAUGGGCCUGAUAUUUCAGACAAUGUGCUGGAUAUUACAUCAGCACUUUAGUGAACUCUAAAAGAGCUUAAAGCAGUCCCUGUGGUCUGCCAGUUCUGAAAUCAGCCUGGCUAAAUGUGUCCUCAUUGAGAAAUGGUCAAGAGAUUUACGCUACUGGCACUUCACAAAAGAAGGCCAAGAAAGGAUUGCAGUGUCUUUUGGCAGAGGAAGGGAGGAUUGGGUAAAUUCUUUAGUCUUUGUGAAGAAACAUUAAAACAUUCUCUCAUUAAAACAUUUUUUACUUUGACAUUUAAUUUAAAUGCUCAAUAAUGCUAGUCAUCAAGAAAACAUUAAAACCACAGUAAGAUACCCCUCCACUGAUAAGAGCAGCAAAAAUUAAGGUAUCAACAAUACCAGAUGUUGGUGUGAGUGUGGAGCAACAGGAUCUCAUAACCUGCUGAUGGGAGUGUAAAUUGGUUCAACCACUUGAGAAAUAUUUGACAAAUACCUGUUAAUGUUAAAACACACAUCUACCCUCAGCUCAGCAGUUCCACUGCUAAUGUGUGUAUCCAAAAAAGAAGAAUACAUGUACCGAAGACAUAUGAACUUUAUUGGUAGCUCAAAGUAGAAGCAACCCCUGAUGUCCAUCAGCGGAAUGGAUACUGUGAAGUACUCUAUAGUGAGGAAAUGAGCUAACUUGCUUGCUACAUGUAAUAAUUUGGAUGAAUCUUACAAACAUACUGACCAAGGAACCAACAAAAGAAAAUGCUGUAUGAUUCCCACUUGUGAAAGGGUUCAGAAACAAAAGCAGAAUUAAUUGGAGAAGGGUCACAGAGGGAUAAAAGGGGGCUUAUGGUAUACUGGUUAUCUUGUCUGUCUUGAUCAGCGUGGUGAUAACUUUGUGAUAAGCUUUUUGAGUUGUGCUUUUUAUGUUUUAUGCAUUUUUUGUAUUUGUCUUACACAUCAUUUUAAAGUUUUGGUUUCUUAAUGUACUAAAUAGUAUCAACAUGAGGCUAAUGAAACAGACACUCCUGCAGUGUAAGAGAACAGCAGUAGUCUGAGGCAUUUAGAAAGAAGGGCUUUCUGUAUCCAUCCAAUACAUUUAAAGCAGGAAGUAUUAGAAAAUACCUGCAUCAGCUCCUACUCUGGUACAACAGGGCAUUAUGAUGACAAGGACACAAGAAGAGAGAGAGAAGGAAAAGACAGGGAGAAGCUAAGUUAAAAGUUGUGUCAGAAAUAGCAAACAGUCACAGAAAAUCUAACCCAUAAUGAAGAACAGUAACUGUCACACUGAUUGCAGAAUCUUACAGGUUCUCAUGAACCAGCAAAGGGAAGACAGAGGGGUUCCCCCAACUUGUUAUCAACCAGAUUAAAGCUGUCUUCAUCAGUGUUCUAAACUGUGCUUAAUAAGCUCUCCUCGGAGGAAUUCUGCAACUUAAAUAAGUUACAAUAAAUCAAAAGCACCGACACAUGAAUAUAUUGAGAGAAAAGGUGGAGAUACAAAAGGCUGAUAAUGAAGAUGUAUCCUUUGAAUAAUAGAUGUUCCCAAAGAAGGCAAGAUGCAUUAAACAAAAAAAUAGUUUUGGUAGAAGAAACCUUGAUUUUUAAAAGGGCUCAAGUCUGAAGAUCUUCAUCAGCACAUUAGAUGCCAGCUGGAAUGGAACAGUGUCUACAGGGUUGUGUAGUUCAGGAUUUCUUUACUCCAGAUGUGAAGGUAACAGAAAAGGAUUCUGUGAUGUUCAUUGUACUGCUGAUUUGGAAAAAAGUACUUGAAUAUAAUCAAUACACUGCCAGAAUGAAUCAAAAUUCAGAAUAAAAGAAUGAGGAAAGAUGAGUCAAUGAGUAUUGAAAUCAGUGCAACUGUUAGAGUAAUACAGGUAAUUAUUGUAAAUCUAAAAUUGAAAGCACAAUUUAUUAAAUCUUAAUCUUUGAGUGAAGGUCAAGAAAGUAUGGAAAUUUCCCCUUUUUUGUGGGGGCUGGAGAAUGAAGUGAAGAGAAAUUCUUUUGUAAAGAAAAAAGUUACUGUGUUUUUUACUUGGAAAAUUAAGUGUAAAUUUAACAGUGAAAUCUGUCAAGGUGGAUAACAAUAACAGAAUGUCUCUUGUCAAAGUCCUUGAAAAAGACAUGAAUGAAACUGUAUAUGAGACAAAAGUAAAAAGGAG